rnacentral:tRNA from 1 species
GCGGUCGUGGCGGAAUUGGUAGACGCGCAGCGUUGAGGUCGCUGUGGGGCAACCCUUGGAAGUUCGAGUCUUCUCGACCGCACCA